UGAACGCUAGCUACAGGCUUAACACAUGCAAGUCGAGGGGCAGCAUGAACUUAGCUUGCUAAGUUUGAUGGCGACCGGCGCACGGGUGAGUAACACGUAUCCAACCUUCCGUUUACUCAGGGAUAGCCUUUCGAAAGAAAGAUUAAUACCUGAUAGUAUGGUGAGAUUGCAUGAUAACACCAUUAAAGAUUUAUUGGUUACAGACGAGCAUGCGCUCCAUUAGCCAGUUGGCGGGGUAACGGCCCACCAAAGCGACGAUGGAUAGGGGUUCUGAGAGGAAGGUCCCCCACAUUGGAACUGAGACACGGUCCAAACUCCUACGGGAGGCAGCAGUGAGGAAUAUUGGUCAAUGGGCGAGAGCCUGAACCAGCCAAGUAGCGUGAAGGAUGACUGCCCUAUGGGUUGUAAACUUCUUUUAUAAAGGAAUAAAGUCGGGUAUGCAUACCCGUUUGCAUGUACUUUAUGAAUAAGGAUCGGCUAACUCCGUG
rnacentral:rRNA from 1 species